rnacentral:tRNA from 1 species
GCUUGGGUGGCUCAGUUGGUUGAGCGUCCGACUUCGGCUCAGGUCAUGAUCUCACGGUCUGUGGGUUCGAGCCCCGCGUCGGGCU